GCACAAGCGGUGGAGCAUGUGGUUUAAUUCGAUGCAACGCGAAGAACCUUACCUGGGCUUGACAUCCCGGGAAUCCCUGGAAACAGGGGAGUGCCCUUCGGGAAACCCGGUGACAGGUGCUGCAUGGCUGUCGUCAGCUCGUGUCGUGAGAUGUUGGGUUAAGUCCCGCAACGAGCGCAACCCUUGUCUUUAAUUGCCAUCAUUUAGUUGGGCACUUUAAAGAGACUGCCGGUGUUAAGCCGGAGGAAGGUGGGGAUGACGUCAAGUCCUCAUGGCCUUUAUGACCAGGGCUACACACGUACUACAAUGGCCGGUACAAAGGGCAGCGACACAGCGAUGUGAAGCCAAUCCCGAAAAGCCGGUCUCAGUCCGGAUUGGAGUCUGCAACUCGACUCCAUGAAGUUGGAAUCGCUAGUAAUCGCGGAUCAGCACGCCGCGGUGAACACGUUCCCGGGCCUU
rnacentral:rRNA from 1 species